CCACUUUUAAAAUUUAAAGUUCAGGAUUUUAGCAAUGAAGAACUGCUUUAAAAUACUGUGAUGUAAAAUGCAAGCCUAGUAACCCCGACAAGACAAGGCAUUAAGUUACAGGGUUUGGCAAAUUACACAGCUUUUUUUUCAACUCCUGUUCUAGCUGACAAGAGAGCACAAUGGAGGGCAGUGGCAAGAGGAGGAGAAACUGUAUCCUUGUGUUUUCAUCAUUAGAAGAGAAUGAAAGGACAGCAGUGGCACAGCCAGACAGGGCAGGGGGUUUGUAAUCACCACAGAAGCCAUGUCUGAGCAUCUCCUGCAGCUCUACAGCCACAAAAAUCACACCUGCAAAUUAGUGACCCCAUCGGAAUCAGAGAAUUGGUAAAGAAGAAACCAAGAAGUUCAGCUGGAAGCGAAGAAGGCAAGGGAGGUACCAAAAAUAAA
rnacentral:lncRNA from 1 species